GUGGCCAAGCGGGAUGGGAGCGCGGGUCUCCCCAUCCCCAGCGGUGACGGGCUGCGGCUCUUUCCGGAGGAACGGGGCGGCGUCCGCAACGGGAACCGCUGGAGGUGCCCCCCGGGACCCUGGCCCGCCCUCGCCCCCGCGCAUGCCUGGCCGCUGAGGCGUGAGAGCCGCCGCCCGUGGCCUCCCCCCGUGCGCCUUGCACAACCGGCCCAGAUAAGUGCUGCGUCUCUGGGCAAUUAUCGCCCUCCCGCCGCCGGGGCUGGCCGCGCACAGGGCCCACGGCCAAGGGACUCGCAGCCACCCAAGGAGAGCGGCCUACAGCCUUCAGACUGGAACUAUGCUGUUGGCUCUCCUGGAUCUCCAGCUGGUGGAUUUAUCCUGCAGAUCCUGGUUCUUGCCAGCCUCCAAAUUGUGCAGAGUAAGGAGCUUGGAAGAACCUGAAGACACCACUGAAGCCCUGAAUCAACCUACCCUGAAGCCCAUCCCAACUCCACACUUUCUGUUUUGUGACAUAAUACAUUUCUGUUAUUUGAGGCUGAAUGUUUCUUAACCAAUACAGGGAGAUGAGGUGCACUGGUUGGGACUCUUUCC